CGAAAGCCUGACGGAGCAAUACCGCGUGAGGGAGGAAGGCUCUUGGGUUGUAAACCUCUUUUCUCAAGGAAUAAGUUCUGAAGGUACUUGAGGAAUAAGCAUCGGCUAACUCCGUGCCAGCAGCCGCGGUAAUACGGAGGAUGCAAGCGUUAUCCGGAAUGAUUGGGCGUAAAGCGUCCGCAGGUGGUUUAUCAAGUCUGCUGUCAAAGCGUCUGGCUCAACUAGAUAAAGGCAGUGGAAACUGAGAGACUGGAGUAUGGUAGGGGUAGAGGGAAUUCCCGGUGUAGCGGUGAAAUGCGUAGAGAUCGGGAAGAACACCGGUGGCGAAAGCGCUCUGCUGGACCAUAACUGACACUGAGGGACGAAAGCUAGGGGAGCG
rnacentral:rRNA from 1 species